rnacentral:rRNA from 1 species
AUGCACCAGGUUGCCCUUUUUUUCAUCUAUAGCAGCCGUGCCAAGCUGUCCAUAGAAGUGCGAUAUGCUACCGCUCAUCUUCCACGCGAGGAGCAGUGGGUGAGGCUUCAACUGCCUGGGAAGAACCACACUUGGAAAGUCAAGCUCUAUAUCGGCGACAAGGACAAGGGCAAAUGUUAUGCACUACAAACAGGCUGGAAGAAGUUUGUAGAUGAUAACAAACUGCAGGAUGACGACAUGUGCCUGUUUGAGCUACUCAAGAACAAGGAGCUCACCAUGAACGUCCACAUCAUUCGCAGAGAUUGA